CAGUAGCCGCGGGAAUACGAAGGGUGCAAGCGUUACUCGGAAUUACUGGGCGUAAAGCGUGCGUAGGUGGUGGUUUAAGUCCGUUGUGAAAGCCCUGGGCUCAACCUGGGAAUUGCAGUGGAUACUGGGUCACUAGAGUGUGGUAGAGGAUAGUGGAAUUUCCGGUGUAGCAGUGAAAUGCGUAGAGAUCGGAAGGAACAUCUGUGGCGAAGGCGACUAUCUGGGCCAACACUGACACUGAGGCACGAAAGCGUGGGGGGCAAACAGGAUUAGAUACCCGUGUAGUCCCUGUCUCUUAUAA
rnacentral:rRNA from 1 species